CUAAGCUGCGCGAGCCUGAGCCGUUAAACUUGUCCGCGUUUCCGUAGGGGCUCGCCGCGCCUGAGUCCAGCACC